rnacentral:rRNA from 1 species
AUGUGGUCGACUGCGGCGUCGUGGUGGGCCCACCACCACAAACGCCUCCUUCUCCCGGCCCUCUUCCUCGCCGCCGCCCUCUUCUUCUUCCUCGCCUCUCCGCGCUCCUCCCCAUCCUUCUUCGCCCUACCAGCCUCCAGGUACGCGCCCCGCCCCGACCUGCCAUACCAGCUUCUUCUGGACACUUCCUGGAAGUUACAGAUCCCCCGCAUUGGGUUUUCCCGCAGGGAGCAUUCGCCGUCGGGGUCGCGGCUCAUAUGGGCGCAGCGGCGGGUGGCGGAGUGGCAGCCGUGCGAGUGGUGGCAGACGGCAAUGCCCGCAGCUCCGUCGACGAGGAAUGGCUACAUCAGGAUAGAUUGCUACGGCGGCCUCAACCAGCUGCGGCGCGAUCUGUGCGAUGGAAUUGCGGUUGCACGUCUUCUGAACGCGACAAUGGUUCUGCCCAAGUUUGAGGUUGCUGCAUACUGGAACGAGUCUAGUGGUUUUGCAGACGUGUUUGAUGUUGAUCACUUCAUUGAGCAAACUAGAGGUUAUGUGGAGGUGGUCAAGGAUAUGCCCGAGGAGAUAUCGUUGAAAGAGCCAUUUAAGGUCGAUUGCCGAAAACAGAAAGGACAUUUUGAUUAUGUAGAAACAGUUCUUCCAGCUCUUUUACAACAUCGAUAUAUUUCUCUGACACCUGCCAUGAGCCAAAGAAAAGAUAGAUAUCCAUCACAUGCGAAAGCUUGUUACUGCCAAGGUUGCUACAAUGCACUCAAGUUGAACAAGAAGGUGGAAGCCAAAGCUAUGGAGCUUCUCCAAGCGAUACCAAAACCUUUCUUAUCACUUCACCUUAGAUUUGAACCAGAUAUGGUUGCCUACAGUCGAUGUGAAUACAGUGCCCUUUCUUCCAAAUCACUGGAUGCGAUUGAAGCUGCACGUGGGGAGGACAGGAAUGUAUUGGUUGGUGAUGCUGCUCAUCUGUGGAGGAACCGUGGAAAGUGCCCUCUAACACCAAGUGAAACAGCAUUUAUCCUCCAAGCACUAGGUAUUCCUACAGAGACAAACAUUUAUUUAGCUGCUGGGGAUGGGUUAAUGGAACUCGACGGCUUCACUUCGAUCUACAAAAAUAUGUAUACUAAAUCAUCUCUCCUGACUCAUGAAGAUUUUGAGAGAAUGCAUGGCAACACAAAAGCUGCUCUUGACUACUAUGUUUCAGUCAACAGCGAUGCUUAUGUUACCACGUUCUUUGGAAAUAUGGAUAAGAUGGUAACUGCAAUGAGAACAAUGCAAGGGCUACAGAAGACAUUGGUCUUGAGUAGGAGGGCCUUCGCAAAUUACACGGCUGCUGGACUGGCAGGGGACCAACUAGCUAAGGCCAUGUGGGAUGCUCAUCGAGAGGAUUAUAUCAUGGGGAGGGGAUUAGCUCUCCCUGAACAUUGCUUCUGUGAGUUCAAGUUGUAG